GCCUGGGUGGCUCAGUGGUUGAGCGCCUGCUUUCAGCCCAGGGCGUGAUCCUGGAGUCCUGGGAUCGAGUCCCACAUCAGGCU
rfam:Canis lupus familiaris chromosome 10, whole genome shotgun sequence.